UACGUAGGGUGCAAGCGUUGUCCGGAAUUAUUGGGCGUAAAGCGCGCGUAGGCGGUUACUUAAGUCGGAUGUGAAAGCCCUCGGCUUAACUGGGGAACUGCAUCUGAUACUGGAUGGCUUGAGUUCGGGAGAGGGAUGCGGAAUUCCAGGUGUAGCGGUGAAAUGCGUAGAUAUCUGGAGGAACACCGGUGGCGAAGGCGGCAUCCUGGACCGACACUGACGCUGAGGAGCGAAAGCCAGGGGAGCAAACGGG
rnacentral:rRNA from 1 species